UCCCGAAGUUCCUUCGGCUCCGAGCCGACCGCCACUUCGUUGCAGCAGUAGUCGCUCGUGUCGUCCCCGUGUUGUGUUCGUCGUUGGACUUGUUUAUUUUUGUUGCGAUGGCUCUUGAUUUUAAGGCUUGGGGCGAUGUCAUCACCUUCCCUAACUCCAAGGGGAUGAAGGUGUUAUUGGAGGCUGUUGACUCUAUUAUUCUAUCCACCAAUCUGCUCUAAGUGAUCGAUGAUGCGUUUUGCGGGCUCCCCAACUGAUCCUUCCGUUUAACUUGUGACUGAAGAUUGCCUAUUAGUGAUCUGUGAUAUAAUCUGUGAUAAAUGUUUUCAUUUGA
rnacentral:lncRNA from 1 species